GAAAAUUGAGGCACAGAGAUCAAGCAACUCAUUCAGGUCCAAAUCAAGCUCACAUAGCCAGGGCUGGUGCUGUUGAUGCUCCACUCAGAUUCCAAGUAUCACUUUGACUGGCUUGUUGAGCACAUUCCCAAACUGCCACCUACAUUGCCGCUGCUGAUUCACACCUAUAACCUUCUUUGGAGAACUUUCCUUGGGCAUUUGUAGCUGCUUUGCUUGCUUUGCGCCAUCUUGCUAUCCAGGAAUGCCCACAUGAACCCUAGGUAUUGUCAAAAUGGUCACUAAAUGCUACAUAGUGGUUGCCUUUAUUCUUGUUCGAGAACCUGAAUCUGUCUCCUGAUGAGGCACAGAGAAUCAAGAGUGAGGCACAGGGUAGUUGUGACAUUCAAAUGAGGUAACUUCUGUGAAUGCACUUUGAAAGCAGAAUUCCAUUCAGAAAGCAAACAGAGCCUGGUAUGUGGAGACUCAAUAAAAUGUGUUGAAUAAAUGAAACUGCAUCUUCAAGGAGACAGAACUGACAAACUAAGAGGCCCUGAUAGAGCACGUGAUGUAUUUACAGUGACUGAAAGCUUGGUUUCUGUUAGCCUGGGACGUUCUCUCUGGUCUUCCUCUCCCCUGAGACACAACAAUAUUGAAUUUAGGCCAAUUAAUAACCCUGCAAUGGCCCCUAAGUGUGCAGGUGAAAGGAAGAAUUGCACGUCUCUCACUUAAAAUCAAAAGCUAGAAAUGAUUAAGCUUAG
rnacentral:lncRNA from 1 species